AGGGGUGGGAUGGCUGCUGGCCUGGUCUCAGCCAGUGCCACAGUCCUGCCCACUCCACCUGGCAUCUGGCCCUGAGGUGAAGAUGACCUUAGGAAAGAGCAGUCCAGUCCCUUCAAUGAGGGGAAGUAUCUAUACAGCCUCCAAAGGCUGCCAGAGCCCUGGCUUGUGCAGAACAGGGAACUUUCCAGGCUGAACCCUUUGCAAGGGGCCUUGAUGGUUUAUUUUGGAGGUGCUGCCACACUGGCAAAGGGGUGCCUUCCACUGGAUCUCAGCCUCAUGAGGACACAUGAACAGUUUCUCAAGAAUCAGCUGCUGUGUGCAGGCGCAGGAUGGAGGAAUCCAUUGUGACUGUGAGCAGAUGCCCACGCAAACAUGAGCUCCAGGGCAUCGUGGAGCUUAAUGGAGCCUUUUCCUUGUGGAUUUCCUGUUUCGGAAGUUUAUCUAUUCACCUUUGCAUGCAUUUAC
rnacentral:lncRNA from 1 species